rnacentral:tRNA from 15 species
CGGGGUGUGGCGCAGUUUGGUAGCGCACUCGCUUUGGGUGCGAGGGGUCGUGGGUUCAAAUCCCGCCACCCCGA